rnacentral:rRNA from 1 species
AUUGAACGCUGGCGGCAUGCCUUACACAUGCAAGUCGAACGGCAGCACGGGAGCAAUCCUGGUGGCGAGUGGCGAACGGGUGAGUAAUAUAUCGGAACGUGCCCAGUCGUGGGGAUAACGUAGCGAAAGCUACGCUAAUACCGCAUACGAUCUAUGGAUGAAAGCGGGGGAUCGCAAGACCUCGCGCGAUUGGAGCGGCCGAUAUCAGAUUAGGUAGUUGGUGAGGUAAAGGGCUCACCAAGCCGACGAUCUGUAGCUGGUCUGAGAGGACGACCAGCCACACUGGGACUGAGACACGGCCCAGACUCCUACGGGAGGCAGCAGUGGGGAAUUUUUGGGACAAUGGGCGCGAAGCCUGAUCCAGCAAUGCCGCGUGCAGGAUGAAGGCCUUCGGUUGUAAC